rnacentral:rRNA from 1 species
UACGGAGGGUGCAAGCGUUAUCCGGAUUCACUGGGUUUAAAGGGUGCGUAGGUGGGCAGUUAAGUCAGUGAUGAAAUCUCCGGGCUCAACCCGGAAACUGCCAUUGAUACUAUCUGUCUUGAAUAUCGUGGAGGUAAGCGGAAUAUGUCAUGUAGCGGUGAAAUGCUUAGAUAUGACAUAGAACACCAAUUGCGAAGGCAGCUUACUACCCGAAUAUUGACACUGAGGCACGAAAGCGUGGGGAUCAAACAGG